rnacentral:rRNA from 1 species
UACGUAGGGUGCAAGCGUUGUCCGGAAUUAUUGGGCGUAAAGAGCGUGUAGGCGGCCCGGUUAGUCCGCUGUGAAAGUCCAGGGCUCAACCCUGGAAUGCCGGUGGAUACUGUCGGGCUAGAGUCCGGAAGGGGCGAGUGGAAUUCCUGGUGUAGCGGUGAAAUGCGCAGAUAUCAGGAGGAACACCAAUGGCGAAGGCAGCUCGCUGGGACGUGACUGACGCUGAGGUGCGAAAGCGUGGGGAGCAAACAGG